UGGAAAAAAAAAUGUUUUAAGUACUUUCUUUUUAGAAGAGGAAAUUCUCAUACACCUUUUCAUUUCGAUUCAAAAGUCACAACAGAGAAAAUAGUAAAGGUCCUCCAUUUUUCUCUCCUACCUCCAGCCACUCAGUUCUUUUCCAAUUCAGAGAGAUGUCGGGGCAGUUCGUUUUUAUUGGCCAACAAAUAUGUGACUUAUGGGCGAGUUGGUGUGGCUUAUGGGUAAGGGCAGUUUUCCAAGAACAAAUUCCAGCAGAAUGGAAAGUUGUUAAUAAAGGCUUUUUUUUCUUUUUUUUUUUUUAAAGAAUUCUUCCAUGUACGCACAAUAUAAUGGCAUCAGCAGCAUUAUCUUCAGAUAGGAAGCGCCAGUGAAAACCAGAAAGGUUACCAGUAGUCAGGAGAAAAAACGUUUUGACGGAAUAAAAAGGAUAACGUAAUUAACCUUCUUCUGAUUUUUUACAGGAUGUUUGGAGGCUUGUGAGGAAGAUCUUCCUGUAAGAGUUUGAGUUGGGGUUUGGCAUCUGGCUUGGCCUGAGUUGCUCAGGCACAGCUGGCCCCAAUUAUUACAAAGAACUUCUCUUGGCUCUGGAAUGUUCUAAACCACUGGGUAUAAAAUCUAGUCGUUUCCCAUUAAUUUUUCACUUUUUCUGAUAUAAUUCUAGAUUCUCCUAGCCAUCAGACUCUGCUUUAUAAAAGAAGCUCCUCACUCGCCAACCAUCACUCUGGUCCCGGGUUCUGGGAACCCAAGAAAAGAUUCGUCACAAUUUGAGUGAUUGCCAGUUAAUCUCCUUUCCCAUGGAGGUGGGCGAGAGAGAAGGUAGCAAAGAUUCAUUCAGUACCUGAUGUUUUACAUGCUUUACUUCAUUUAAUGAUAGAUGCCUACCUGUCCCUCUUGUAUUUUCAAUUGAACGAGUAUUGUGAAAUUGAGCUAGUAAAGCUUUGCAGCUGUGGUAUGUGCAUCCUGGUCCCAGCCAUUCCAGAAAUGCCUAUUUCCUAAGCAAAAACUUAUAUGUGUGUAUGUAUGUAUGUAUGUAUGUACGUAUGUAUGUGUGUGUGUGUAUACCUUUACAAAUGAGUACUUGGAAUUUUUCAAGUGUCUCCGGUGUCUUCCAGCCCUGGUUUAUGAAACCCUGUAAUGUCCCCAUGCUAUAAUCCUCUAGACCAUCAUUCCUCAAAAUAAUUCACUGUAAUUUAAAUAAUAAUUUAAGCCAUCCGGGUAUUAUGAUGACAAACAAAUAGAAAUAGAGAUUGCUAAUUCAUUUUUUUUAAGAUCAGUUCACAGACCAUCUUUUAAAGUCUUCAGGCUAGUAUUUUCCAAAGUUCCGUCAUUUGCAGAAUACCUUCAUUACUUUUUAAAUGGAAUUUUAUAAAUUGUAGCAAAAUUAUAGUGCAUGUAGUUAAAAGUCAAAUAGUUCUACAAUACUUGCUACAAAAAAUAAAGCCCUUCUCCAGCCUUGAAGUUACCUCUGCCAGUGCUUCUAAAUUAUUAUUUUCCUAUUUAUCCCCAAUUCUUUAUCUUUAAAAGCAACUCUUAAUAUUUCUACUUGAUUUUUUAUUUUAGCAUUAUCUGUUGACUUCCUACUAUGAAAUAUUCAGAUUAAGCUUAAUUUCAGUAGUCCUUACUCAGCUCCCAUUUCUACUUCCCGUCCUUCACCAACCUUCCAAUAUAGACAGUUGGGUAAAAUCAAUAUUCAGUUGACAUUACUUUAAGGAUGAAAUGAAACCACAGUUGACAUCUAAGACACCUAGUGAACUGUGAUGACUUUUCCUUUUCUGCAGUUAUUAGUGUGUGGGGUUGUUUUGUUGUUGUUGUUGUUUUGCAGAGUUAAUAGUACUAUGGUUUGAUAAGAUUUUUUAGACACUUUUCACUAAUAUAGUCCCAAACUUUCCCAUAGUUGCAUAAAUCCGCCCUCAGCACUCAUGUCCUUGGUAUCCCAACGGAUUCAUUUCCAUGAAGAAUUCUCUUCUGGAGUCUUCGGCCCAGAAGCAACAGAUGCUGCAGAUUUCUACGCCUUUCCGAGGUUCUGAGGUGCAAAUCAAGUUGCCACUCACCUUCACGCACCGCUGGCUCUUCAGCUUUCUUGAGUCUGCUCAUCAGUUCGUUUCCCCAUGUCCACCUGACAUCUAUCAUUCUGUCGCCAUGAGAUUUCUCAUUUUAUUUGUACUGUUAUGGGCAAGUUAUGCCUUAUCGUGUAUGCCUUUAAACAAACAUCUCUCAACCCACCAUUUUAAGCUGGAAAUCUUUUUAGUUUUUUUUCUCUAUCUUGGUAUUUUUUAGACCAUUUACAUAGUAUUUGUCUUUAUAUUGACUCGAUUUUUCUAGUUUAACUCUUCCUAAUCAAUAAUAGUCAAAAAAUUAUGGUCGUCUCUCAUCAGAUUUCCUAAUAGUUUCUAAAAUACACUAGCAUUUGUUAAGAAGAAGGAAAUCUGGCACACCACCAGUGGCAGGCACUGUACGGAGGGAAAUACUACUCCGGUGUCAAGGAGAAAGGUCCAGGGAGGUUACGUGGCCUGAGGUCGAGCCAGUGACAGAACUGGGACAUUCUUUGGAUCUCCUGAAUUCCCUACUUGUUCUUUACCACUAAGCUGGGCUGCCUGGGCCUCUAGCCAAAUGUAUUGAUUAACCGUAUACCUGACUUCUCUAAGCUAUCCAGGGCCACUUUACCUGUUAGACCUCUGUCUCAUUAUCCAGCCCCUAAGUAACAGACCUUGUUUAAAGCUCCUAGUUCCAAAUGUGACCCACACUGGAUAGGGAGAUGCAUUGGUGGC